rnacentral:rRNA from 1 species
GUCCCAGACUCCUACGGGAGGCAGCAGUGGGGAAUAUUGCACAAUGGGGGAAACCCUGAUGCAGCGACGCCGCGUGAGUGAAGAAGUAAUUCGUUCUGUAAAGCUCUAUCAGCAGGGAAGAAAAUGACGGUACCUGAGUAAGAAGCCCCGGCUAACUACGUGCCAGCAGCCGCGGUAAUACGUAGGGGGCAAGCGUUAUCCGGAUUUACUGGGUGUAAAGGGAGCGUAGACGGCAUGGCAAGUCAGAUGUGAAAGCCCGGGGCUCAACCCCGGGACUGCUUUGGAAACUGUUCAACUGGAGUGCUGGAGAGGUAAGCGGAAUUCCUAGUGUAGCGGUGAAAUGCGUAGAUAUUAGGAGGAACACCAGUGGCGAAGGCGGCUUACUGGACAGUAACUGACGUUGAGGCUCGAAAGCGUGGGGAGCAAACAGGAUUAGAUACCCUAGUA